AAUGAACGCUAGUAGUAUGCUUAACACAUGCAAGUCGAACGAAAGUUUUACACUUUCGUGGCGUACGGGUGAGUAAAUGCAGAAUUCUUCCUUCCAGUUCAGUACAAAAAUUUGCUUCUUAGUAAUAAAUUCUGAAUAUUUUUAAAGGUUUAUUCCGCUGAAAGAAUGAAUCUGCUUAAGAUUAGGUUGUUGGUAAUUUAAAAAGCUUACCAAGCCGAUGAUCUUUAGUUGGUCUGAGAGGAUGAUCAACCACACUGGAACUGAAACAAGGUCCAGGCUAAUUCGUUGGCCAGCAGUGAGGAAUAUUGGAGUCAAUGAACGAAAGUUUGAUCCAGC
rnacentral:rRNA from 1 species